rnacentral:rRNA from 1 species
UACAGAGGUGGCAAGCGUUGUUCGGAAUUACUGGGCGUAAAGGGCGCGUAGGCGGCCCUCUAAGUCAGACGUGAAAUCCCCCGGCUUAACCUGGGAACUGCGUCUGAUACUGGAGGGCUUGAGUGCGGGAGAGGGAUGUGGAAUUCCAGGUGUAGCGGUGAAAUGCGUAGAUAUCUGGAGGAACACCGGUGGCGAAGGCGGCAUCCUGGACCGACACUGACGCUGAGGCGCGAAAGCUAGGGUAGCAAACGGG